rnacentral:rRNA from 1 species
AACGAACGCUGGCGGCAUGCCUAACACAUGCAAGUCGAACGAGACCUCCGGGUCUAGUGGCGCACGGGUGCGUAACGCGUGGGAACCUGCCCUUAGGUUCGGAAUAACUCCCCGAAAGGGGUGCUAAUACCGGAUAAUGUCUUCGGACCAAAGAUUUAUCGCCUUUGGAUGGGCCCGCGUUGGAUUAGCUAGUUGGUAGGGUAAAAGCCUACCAAGGCGACGAUCCAUAGCUGGUCUGAGAGGCUGAUCAGCCACACUGGGACUGGGACGCGGCCCGGAAUCCUACGGAAGGGAGGAGUGGGGGAUAUUGGACAAUCGGGGGAGGCAUGAUCCAGCUAGGCCGCGUGAGUGAUGAAGGCCGUAGAGUUGUAAAGCUCUUUUACCCGGGAUGGUAAUGACGGUACCGAAAGAAUAAGCUCCGGCUAACUCCGUG